AGAGUUUGAUCCUGGCUCAGGACGAACGCUGGCGGCAGGCUUAACACAUGCAAGUCGAACGCACCGCAAGGUGAGUGGCAGACGGGUGAGUAACGCGUGGGAACGUGCACUUUGGUUCGGAAUAGCUCCGGGAAACUGGAAUUAAUGCCGGAUACGCCCUCCGGGGGAAAGAUUUAUCGCCAAAGGAUCGGCCCGCGUCAGAUUAGGUAGUUGGUAGGGUAACGGCCUACCAAGCCGAUGAUCUGUAGGUGGUCUGAGAGGAUGAUCACCCACACUGGGACUGAGACACGGCCCAGACUCCUACGGGAGGCAGCAGUGGGGAAUAUUGGACAAUGGGCGAAAGCCUGAUCCAGCCAUGCCGCGUGGAUGAAGAAGGCCCUAGGGUUGUAAAGUCCUUUCGGCGGGGAAGAUAAUGACGGUACCCGCAGAAGAAGCC
rnacentral:rRNA from 1 species